rnacentral:rRNA from 1 species
GACGAACGCUGGCGGCGUGCUUAACACAUGCAAGUCGAACGGUAAGGCCCUGCUUUUGUGUGGUGCUCGAGUGGCGAACGGGUGAGUAACACGUGAGUAACCUGCCCUUGACGUUGGGGUAACUUCAGGUAACUGGGUCUAAUACGGGAUAGGAGCUCCUGCUGCAUGGUGGGGGUUGGAAAGUUUCGGCGGUUGUGGUUGGACUCGCGGCUUAUCAGCUUGUUGGUGGGGUAGUGGCUUACCAAGGGUUUGACGGGUAGGCGGCCUGAGAGGGUGACCGGGCACAUUAGGCCUGAGAUACGGACCAGUCGGCAACGGGAGGCAGCAGUGGGGAAUAUUGCACAACGGGCGGGAGCGUGAUGCGGCGACGCCGCGUGCGGGAUGACGGCCUUCGGGUUGUAAACCGCUUUCGCCUGUGACGAAGCGUGAGUGACGGUAAUGGGUAAAGAAGCACCGGCUAACUACGUG